CCAAUAGCGUAUAUUAAAGUUGUUGCAGUUAAAAAGCUCGUAGUUGAAUUUCGGGAUUGGCGCAUCGGUCGUGCCUUACGGGGUAUGAACUGGUGCAGUCAAUUUCUCACCUUCUGGAGAACCGCGAUGUCCUUAAUUGGGUGCCGCGGGGAACCAGGACCUUUACUUUGAAAAAAUUAGAGUGUUUAAAGCAGGCAUUUUUGCUUGAAUACAUUAGCAUGGAAUAAUAAAAUAGGACGGCAUGGUUCUAUUUUGUUGGUUUCUAGGACCACCGUAAUGAUUAAUAGGGAUAGUUGGGGGCAGUAGUAUUCAAUUGUCAGAGGUGAAAUUCUUGGAUUUAUUGAAGACUAACUACUGCGAAAGCAUUUGCCAAGGAUGUUUUCAUUAAUCAAGAACGAAAGUUAGGGGAUCGAAGACGAUCAGAUACCGUCGUAGUCUUAACCAUAAACUAUGCCGACUAGGGAUCGGAUGAUGUUAAUUUUAUAAUGACUCAUUCGGCGCCUUACG
rnacentral:misc_RNA from 1 species